UACGAAGGGUGCAAGCGUUGCUCGGAAUUACUGGGCGUAAAGCGUGCGUAGGUGGUUUGUUAAGUCUGAUGUGAAAGCCCUGGGCUCAACCUGGGAAUUGCAGUGGAUACUGGCAAGCUAGAGUGUGUCAGAGGGUGGUGGAAUUCCCGGUGUAGCGGUGAAAUGCGUAGAGAUCGGGAGGAACAUCAGUGGCGAAGGCGGCCACCUGGGACAACACUGACGCUGAGGCACGAAAGCGUGGGGAGCAAACAGG
rnacentral:rRNA from 1 species